rnacentral:rRNA from 1 species
AUGCAUUUCGUAGAACACCUGCUAUGCGCCCCCACGGCGAUGGUGACCAAGUCGACACGACUAGUGAGCAAGCCGGACACGCCUGAAGUCGCUGGUCUUCUCAUCGGCGAUGUCCUAUGGGUCAGGGCGUUCGACAGGAGGUCACCAGCAGCGUCAAGGACCUCGCCGCGCCGCUGCCCAAGGCCGUGUAGUGUCAAGGACCGCCAGCCCUAUCCAGACCCCCAAAAUAGAGCCAGGGCUUUGCCUCCUCCUCCUCCAAGAAAGAAAGUUAGGGUUCGUGCCUCUCACCGGCGCCGGCGCAGGUCCGCCUCGUCUCCGGUGGCCCUAGGGCCAUGGAGGCGCGGUGGAUCCUGGCAAGGGCCUGCGGGAGGGCUCCGUUUUUAG